AUUGAACGCUGGCGGCAGGCCUAACACAUGCAAGUCGAACGAGUGGCGGACGGGUGAGUAAUGUCUGGGAAACUGCCUGAUGGAGGGGGAUAACUACUGGAAACGGUAGCUAAUACCGCAUACCAUCAGAUGUGCCCAGAUGGGAUUAGCUAGUUGGUGGGGUAACGGCUCACCAAGGCGACGAUCCCUAGCUGGUCUGAGAGGAUGACCAUGCACACAGGAACUGUGAAACGGUCCAGACUCCUACGAGGUGCACCCGUGGGGAAUAGUGCACAAUGGGCGCAAGCCGGAUGCAGCCAUGCAGCGUGUAUGAAGAAGGCCUUCGGGUUGUAAAGUACUUUCAGCGGGGAGGCGUUACCCGCAGAAGAAGCACCGGCUAACUCCGUGCCAGCAGCCGCGGUACUUC
rnacentral:rRNA from 1 species